UUGGCGGGAUUCCGUAAAUGCUUGCUAAGGCACACAGGUGAAUAAUUUACGAUUGUCAGUUUACUGAGUAGUCAGUUGUGUACCUGGCAUGGCCGUAUCUGUUUGUUUACACGUGCGUGCAAGCAGUACGCCUGUUGCACUUCAGCCGAAGCUUCAGCUGCUGUAGCACGCCAGCCAUCGCCACGUUUUGUUACCUUUAUUCCUGACGCUAAGAGGAAAUAUGGUCUCACCAAUUCAAGAUGAGGGCACAUAUUCUCGAAAACAUUACACUUGGCGCCAUAAUUAACGUGAAUGUGGGCGGUGAUCACGGAUAUGUGCUCGGUAAGUGUCACAUUAGCCCGUAGACCGUCCGUCAUUUCAAGCAGACGGAGCCGCACGGGCGGCGCGUGGAUUGGCUCAUGCUUCAGCUACGACUUCCCUUGAGUGACAAUUGCGAAUCUCGAAGGCUAUGCUCCUGAAGCGAUGCGAAUCGGGGAGGCAGGUUUCUUUUCGUUAACCGCAGUGUGGCGCUGCUGCAGUGUUUUGUUCAGUAAAUCCAAUCCAAUCCAAGUUGCUGUAGUUUAUGGACCACGUUGGCUGUGCGCGAGUGCUUGUUGCAGUGAGGCGGUAGUUGAAUUUUAUAUUAGAAGUGCCUAGGCAAAAUGUGCUUCUUAUCGUGUGCAUUAACCAUCGCACAACCUCUGGACUCGUGAAACACCGUGUGUUCGCCGUGUUUCGAGCGAUACGCCAGUGUCAACAGUGUCUUACAGCGCCCGUCCGAGCUGCUUUUGUUCCCGCCUGCCUGCGCUCUCUCGUGAAAAGCCUGGUACUGGGGCUUCAUCACAGUGUAUGGAAGAAUUUGUUGUAGGUUGUGCGUUCGUGGUGCUAUAGUUCAUCGGCAGCUCUACAGUGUUUGCGCCCGAAAGAGAGUUGGUGCCACGGUACCUGUGGGACGAAGGAGUGUUUGCUGACUACGUCUUGAAAGUUGAAGGCUAUGCGGAUUCUGGAGGCAUCCCACAGGAACCUGCAGCACUGCUUCAAGCUGGAGAGCACCACUAUAAAGCACCUGAUCUGCGUGCUUUUACAUAGGCUUGCAGCAAGAGGGAUAUCAAGAACACGGGAGAUGUCAAGACCACAUUAUUGUCACUGCUUGCUUGUGGUUUCUGAGGGCAUGUAUGAAAGGGUUGGAAAAUAAACAUCAGUGUUUGAAAAGAUUGGUGUGUUUCGCUAACAGGUACAUACUUUUAUAUGUACAAGGUUGCAUCAGAACAGUACCAGACAAUUUCUAAAAAUGCUGGAAAAAGUGGAUAAAUGUCACCAGGAUGUUUUUAGGGCGAGCAACAGAAAGUUGGAAACAAGUUACAAGAAUGUUUCUAGAGCAAGCAACAGAAAGUUAGAAAAAAGUUGCAAGGAUGUUUCUAGGGCGAACAGCAAAAAGUAGCAAAAAAGUUACUAGGAUGUUUCUAGGUCAAGCAACAGAAAGUUGGAAAAAAGUUACAAGGAUGUUUCUAAGGCGAGCAACAGAAAGUUGGAAAAAAGUUACAAGAAUGUUUCUAGAGCAAGCAACGGAAAGCUAGAAAACAGUUACAAGGAUGUUUCUAGGGCGAACAGCAAAAAGUAGGAAAAAAGUUACUAGGAUGUUUCUAUGAAGUAAAAAGAUACCCUGCUUUUAAUGUUUGAAGGAUGUUCAUUCAUCGUUUAAGGAAAGUUUGUACAUAAAAUUUUAAUUGAAUAUCGGUGGCCAAUAGUCGACAGG